AGCGAACGCUGGCGGCAGGCUUAACACAUGCAAGUCGAGCGGGCCCUUCGGGGUCAGCGGCAGACGGGUGAGUAACACGUGGGAACGUACCCUUUGGUUCGGAAUAACGCUGGGAAACUAGCGCUAAUACCGGACACGCCCUUUUGGGGAAAGGCUUGCUGCCGAAGGAUCGGCCCGCGUCUGAUUAGCUAGUUGGUGGGGUAAUGGCCUACCAAGGCGACGAUCAGCAGCUGGUCUGAGAGGAUGAUCAGCCACACUGGGACUGAGACACGGCCCAGACUCCUACGGGAGGCAGCAGUGGGGAAUAUUGGACAAUGGGCGCAAGCCUGAUCCAGCCAUGCCGCGUGAGUGAUGAAGGCCUUAGGGUUGUAAAGCUCUUUUGUCCGGGACGAUAAUGACGGUACCGGAAGAAUAAGCCCCGGCUAACUUCGUG
rnacentral:rRNA from 1 species